UGUGAAGGAAAGGUGAAAAGCACCCCGGGAGGGGAGUGAAAAAGAACCUGAAACCCUGUGCCUACAAGCACCUAGAGCACGUCAAUGUGUGAUAGGGUACUUUUUGUAGAACGGUCCGGCGAGCGAUUGUAUGCAGCAAGGUUAAGGACUUAAGGUCUGGAGCCGAAGCGAAAGCGAGUUUGAAAAGGGCGUUAAGUUGCAUAUAAUGGGCCCGAAACCGGGUGACCUACCCAUGGUCAGGUUGAAGUGGAAGUAAAAUUCCAUGGAGGACCGAACCGACCUCCGUUGAAAAGGCGGCGGAUGAACUGUGGGUAGCGGAGAAAUUCCAAUCGAACCCGGAGAUAGCUGGUUCUCCCCGAAAUAGUUUUAGGACUAGCCUCAAGUUAGAUACCUGGAGGUAAAGCACUGAAUAGCCUAGCGGCCGAGAGGUUAGCGAAGCUUAUCAAACUCAGAAUGCCAGAGUAUUGAUGCUUGGGAGUCAGACAGUGUCAGAUAAAUGUCAUUGUCAAAAGGGAAACAGCCCAGAUCUACAGCUAAGGUCCCAAAGUCAGGUUAAGUGGAAAACGAUGUGAAGAUACGCAGACAACCAGGAUGUUGGCUCAGAAGCAGCCACUCAUUCAAAGAGUGCGUAAUAGCUCACUGGUCGAGCGUCUUUGCGCGGAGAAUUUAACGGGGCUAAACCUGACACCGAAGCUUAGGCAAUACAGCAAUGUAUUGGGUAGGGGAGCGUUGUAUACGCGGAGAAACAGUAGCGCAAGCGGCUGUGGAGUGUAUAGAAGUGAGAAUGCCGGAAUGAGUAGCGCGAAUGCAGUGAGAAUCUGCAUGGCCGAAAGCCUCAGGUUUCUGGAGGAAGGUUCGUCCGCUCCAGGUUAGUCGGGAGCUAAGGUGAGGCCGGAAGGCGUAGCCGAUGCACAGACGGUAGAGAUUCCGUCACCACCAAAAGAGUUAAGCACAGGGACACAUUUGAAGUCUCAGAGCCGGGUGUUGGUUCCGGUAGAGAUCGAGGGAAAUUAGUACCGAAGUCUGAGAUGGAAGAUGGCGAGAAAAGCUGUGUGUAUUUCUGAGGUGCCCGUACCGCAAACCGACACAGGUAGGUAGGAAGAAGAUUCUAAGGCCAACGGGAGAAGGGUUGUUAAGGAACUCGGCAAAUUGACCCCGUAACUUCGGGAGAAGGGGUGCUCCAGAGAUGGAGCCGCAGAGAAUCGGCCCAAGCAACUGUUUACCAAAAACACAGGUUUGUGCUAAAUCGAAAGAUGACGUAUACGAGCUGACGCCUGCCCGGUGCUGGAAGGUUAAGAGGAGAUGUGCAAGCAUUGAAUCGAAGCCCCAGUGAACGGCGGCCGUAACUAUAACGGUCCUAAGGUAGCGAAAUUCCUUGUCAGGUAAG
rnacentral:rRNA from 1 species